rnacentral:rRNA from 1 species
GAUGAACGCUGGCGGCGUGCCUAAUACAUGCAAGUCGAGCGAACGGACGAGAAGCUUGCUUCUCUGAUGUUAGCGGCGGACGGGUGAGUAACACGUGGAUAACCUACCUAUAAGACUGGGAUAACUUCGGGAAACCGGAGCUAAUACCGGAUAAUAUUUCGAACCGCAUGGUUCAAAAGUAAAAGACGGUCUUGCUGUCACUUAUAGAUGGAUCCGCGCUGCAUUAGCUAGUUGGUAAGGUAACGGCUUACCAAGGCAACGAUGCAUAGCCGACCUGAGAGGGUGAUCGGCCACACUGGAACUGAGACACGGUCCAGACUCCUACGGGAGGCAGCAGUAGGGAAUCUUCCGCAAUGGGCGAAAGCCUGACGGAGCAACGCCGCGUGAGUGAUGAAGGUCUUCGGAUCGUAAAACUCUGUUAUUAGGGAAGAACAUAUGUGUAAGUAACUGUGCACAUCUUGACGGUACCUAAUCAGAAAGCCACGGCUAACUACGUGCCAGCAGCCGCGGUAAUACGUAGGUGGCAAGCGUUAUCCGGAAUUAUUGGGCGUAAAGCGCGCGUAGCGGUUUUUUAGUCUGAUGUGAAAGCCCACGGCUCAACCGUGGAGGGUCAUUGGAAACUGGAAAACUUGAGUGCAGAAGAGGAAAGUGGAAUUCCAUGUGUAGCGGUGAAAUGCGCAGAGAUAUGGAGGAACACCAGUGGCGAAGGCGACUUUCUGGUCUGUAACUGACGCUGAUGUGCGAAAGCGUGGGGAUCAAACAGGAUUAGAUACCCUGGUAGUCCACGCCGUAAACGAUGAGUGCUAAGUGUUAGGGGGUUUCCGCCCCUUAGUGCUGCAGCUAACGCAUUAAGCACUCCGCCUGGGGAGUACGACCGCAAGGUUGAAACUCAAAGGAAUUGACGGGGACCCGCACAAGCGGUGGAGCAUGUGGUUUAAUUCGAAGCAACGCGAAGAACCUUACCAAAUCUUGACAUCCUUUGACAACUCUAGAGAUAGAGCCUUCCCCUUCGGGGGACAAAGUGACAGGUGGUGCAUGGUUGUCGUCAGCUCGUGUCGUGAGAUGUUGGGUUAAGUCCCGCAACGAGCGCAACCCUUAAGCUUAGUUGCCAUCAUUAAGUUGGGCACUCUAAGUUGACUGCCGGUGACAAACCGGAGGAAGGUGGGGAUGACGUCAAAUCAUCAUGCCCCUUAUGAUUUGGGCUACACACGUGCUACAAUGGACAAUACAAAGGGCAGCGAAACCGCGAGGUCAAGCAAAUCCCAUAAAGUUGUUCUCAGUUCGGAUUGUAGUCUGCAACUCGACUACAUGAAGCUGGAAUCGCUAGUAAUCGUAGAUCAGCAUGCUACGGUGAAUACGUUCCCGGGUCU